rnacentral:rRNA from 1 species
GCAGCCUGAUGCAGCACGCCGCGUGAGGGACGACGGCCUUCGGGUUGUAAACCUCUUUUAGCAGGGAAGAAGCGAAAGUGACGGUACCUGCAGAAAAAGCACCGGCUAACUACGUGCCAGCAGCCGCGGUAAUACGUAGGGUGCAAGCGUUGUCCGGAAUUAUUGGGCGUAAAGAGCUCGUAGGCGGUUUGUCACGUCUGCUGUGAAAUCCCGAGGCUCAACCUCGGGCUUGCAGUGGGUACGGGCAGACUAGAGUGCGGUAGGGGAGAUUGGAAUUCCUGGUGUAGCGGUGGAAUGCGCAGAUAUCAGGAGGAACACCGAUGGCGAAGGCAGAUCUCUGGGCCGUAACUGACGCUGAGGAGCGAAAGCAUGGGGAGCAAACAGGCUUAGAUACCCUGGUAGUCCAUGCCGUAAACGUUGGGAACUAGAUGUGGGGACCUUUCCACGGUCUCCGUGUCGUAGCUAACGCAUUAAGUUCCCCGCCUGGGGAGUACGGCCGCAAGGCUAAAACUCAAAGGAAUUGACGGGGGCCCGCACAAGCGGCGGAGCAUGCGGAUUAAUUCGAUGCAACGCGAAGAACCUUACCAAGGCUUGACAUAUAGGAGAACGCACUGGAGACAGUGAACUCUUUGGACACUCCUAUACAGGUGGUGCAUGGUUGUCGUCAGCUCGUGUCGUGAGAUGUUGGGUUAAGUCCCGCAACGAGCGCAACCCUCGUCCUAUGUUGCCAGCACGUAAUGGUGGGAACUCAUGGGAUACUGCCGGGGUCAACUCGGAGGAAGGUGGGGAUGAGGUCAAAUCAUCAUGCCCCUUAUGUCUUGGGCUUCACGCAUGCUACAAUGGCCGGU